AUUGAACGCUGGCGGCAGGCCUAACACAUGCAAGUCGAGCGGGGUUUUCGGACCUAGCGGCGGACGGGUGAGUAAUGCGUAGGAAGCUGCCCGAUAGAGGGGGAUACCAGUUGGAAACGACUGUUAAUACCGCAUAAUGUCUACGGACCAAAGUGUGGGACCUUCGGGCCACAUGCUAUCGGAUGCGCCUACGUGGGAUCAGCUAGUUGGUGAGGUAAUGGCUCACCAAGGCGACGAUCUCUAGCUGGCUUGAGAGGAUGAUCAGCCACACUGGAACUGAGACACGGUCCAGACUCCUACGGGAGGCAGCAGUGGGGAAUAUUGGACAAUGGGCGCAAGCCUGAUCCAGCCAUGCCGCGUGUGUGAAGAAGGCCUUCGGGUUGUAAAGCACUUUCAGCGAGGAGGAAGGGUGGUGUGUUAAUAGCACAUCAUUUUGACGUUACUCGCAGAAGAAGCACCGGCUAACUCUGUGCCAGCCGCCGCGGUAACAC
rnacentral:rRNA from 1 species